GGAGGGUGCAAGCGUUAAUCGGAAUUACUGGGCGUAAAGCGCGCGUAGGCGGUUUGGUCAGUCGGAUGUGAAAGCCCUGGGCUCAACCUGGGAAUGGCAUUCGAUACUGCCUGACUAGAGUAUGGUAGAGGGAAGUGGAAUUUCCGGUGUAGCGGUGAAAUGCGUAGAUAUCGGAAGGAACACCAGUGGCGAAGGCGACUUCCUGGGCCAAUACUGACGCUGAGGUGCGAAAGCGUGGGGGAGCAAACAGGAUUAGAUACCCUGGUAGUCCACGCCGUAAACGAUGAGAACUAGAUGUCGGGAGGGUUGCCCUUUCGGUGUCGCAGCUAACGCGUUAAGUUCUCCGCCUGGGGAUACGCCGGCAACGGU
rnacentral:rRNA from 1 species